CCUACGGGUGGCAGCAGUGAGGAAUAUUGGUCAAUGGACGAGAGGCUGAACCAGCCAAGUAGCGUGAAGGAUGACUGCCCUAUGGGUUGUAAACUUCUUUUAUAUGGGAAUAAAAUGUUCCACGUGUGGGAUUUUGUAUGUACCAUAUGAAUAAGGAUCGGCUAACUCCGUGCCAGCAGCCGCGGUAAUACGGAGGAGCCGAGCGUUAUCCGGAUUGAUUGGGUUUAAAGGGAGCGUAGGUGGAUUGUUAAGUCAGUUGUGAAAGUUUGCGGCUCAACCGUAAAAUUGCAGUUGAAACUGGCAGUCUUGAGUACAGUAGAGGUGGGCGGAAUUCGUGGUGUAGCGGUGAAAUGCUUAGAUAUCACGAAGAACUCCGAUUGCGAAGGCAGCUCACUGGACUGCAACUGACACUGAGGCUCGAAAGUGUGGGUAUCAAACAGGAUUAGAUACCCUAGUAGUC
rnacentral:rRNA from 1 species